UACAGGGGGUGCAACCGUUGCUCGGAAUCAUUGGGCGUAAAGCGCACGUAGGCGGUUCGUUAUGUCGGAUGUGAAAGCCCUUGGCUUAACCGAGGAAGUGCAUCCGAAACUGGCGAGCUAGAGUACUAAAGAGGAUCGCGGAAUUCCCGGUGUAGAGGUGAAAUUCGUAGAUAUCGGGAGGAACACCGGUGGCGAAGGCGGCGAUCUGGACGAUAACUGACGCUGAGACGCGAAAGCGUGGGUAGCAAACAGG
rnacentral:rRNA from 1 species